GUGCCAGCCGCCGCGGUAAGACGAACCGUGCGAACGUUAUUCGGAAUCACUGGGCUUAAAGCGCGUGUAGGCGGGCCGGCACGUCGGUCGCUGAAAUCCCCCGGCUCAACCGGGGAAGGGGCGCCGAUACGACCGGCCUGGAGGGGCGUAGGGGGAUCGGGAACUUCCGGUGGAGCGGUGAAAUGCGUUGAGAUCGGAAGGAACGCCCGUGGCGAAAGCGCGGUCCUGGACGCCUGCUGACGCUGAGACGCGAAAGCCAGGGGAGCGAACGGGAUUAGAUACCCCGGUAGUCC
rnacentral:rRNA from 1 species